CCCCAAAAAUAAGAGGGAGAAGGAACAAGAAGUAACUUGGUUUGUGUGGAAGGAUGCCAAUGAUAUGUGAGAUCUUAAGGUUAACAAUUAAGAUAUGACACACACUCUAAAUAAUAUUCAUCACUAUAUGAUAAAUACAACUCAAUCAUACCUCUCUCUCUCACACACAUUUUACAACUCUCGAUAUCACUCUCCCGCCAUCAUUCAUAGAUAUCAC
rnacentral:lncRNA from 1 species